rnacentral:lncRNA from 1 species
AUGAGAACAGCAGGAAAAUCAAUUACAAAGAGAGAAGUCAAAGAAAGUAAAGGCCUCUUGUGGUUGGCACCUUUCCCACCAGUCUCAGAUGGGAAAGCCAAAUCCCUCAGAACUCUACUGCCCAAGAGCACGAGGCACUCAAAAGGUGGACUAGAACCCAAGUCCAGUUCUCCUUCUCCUGGAGCAGGCUAUCCUCCAGUAAAGAGCUUGAAAAAUACUGAAUUAAUAUCAAGUUCAAAUAAUCGAGAACAACAUUUAGCUAAACUAUUUGGUUUCAUCAAAGCAGCUAGUGUUGCUGGGUAUUCUACUGAACCAAGAUUUCUCCUUGGCAGCAUGGACAGAAUUUCUAUUAAUGGGAGGAGGGAUAAGGAACCCUCUCUCGUCAAUGGGAACAUAAAUGAGCGGCUUACUACUGGUGAUGAAGAAGGAUUUCAAGAAGCAGUUAGGACAGAUACUCAAGAUAAGAAUGUGCCAUGUACACAGCUUCUGCACUUUCUCCAGAGGAACAUCAUCCUUGCCGCUGCCUCGGUGGCGGGAAUCCUCGUGGUCACAACGUUGUUGCUGCUGGCAUUGACCACGUGCAUCAGGAGGAAACGGCCAUUACAUCCUCCGGCAAACACGACGUAUAAUGUUUUUAUUAUGAGUGGGAAGUCUUGGUGGCAAAAGUAUCAAGAAAAGAACCUCAGAAAACACAGCGAUAAACAGAAACAGUUGUUGAAGAGCAAGUCCCAUAUCUAA